UUCACUUAGAUCACAGUCACUUCUGGGCAGAGUUAAAAUUAGAAGUUAGUUUAUUCCCCAAAAUAUGGUCCCUGGACCAGCAGCAUCAUUAUCCUGGAAGCGUGACAGAAUCAUACAAUCUGACCCAGACCCUAAAAUAUAACCUAUAUCAGGACGUGCAUCUCAACAAGAUCACCAACAGAUUCAUACGCAUGUUUGAAAAAUACUGGUCUAGAUCAGCUCAGUCCAGAAGAAAUAUAAUCUCAUAUAAUCUCAACAUACUGUUUGUGUAAUAUGUGCCUCCUCCCACUACAAUGUUCACUCUCUGAGAACUGGAACUUGUCUGUGUUUAUUGCUCUACCCCAGAAACCAGAAGCAGUAUUCAGGAACAGUCUGGAGCUAAGCACGUGGUUAAGGGCAUUAGGCAUCUAUCAAAGCUCUAUUCAAGAUUCUUUUUAACUAGCCUACAAAAAAAAAAGGUCUCUACACAGAGAUGGCUGAAAUGAAGAGGCAGCAAUGGCACUACCCUCUCAGCCCAACAGUAAAAGGACAAAGACAGAUAAUUAAGAAAGAGACCAAAAGAACUUGGGAAGAAACACUGUCAGCUAUCCUACACACUCAAGCUUCUACCUGCUCCAGAAAACACCAACUGAUGUAUGCUUAUAGAAGGCUCAGCGGGAAAAGGGGAAAAAAAUGAAAUAGGUGAAAUAAAAAAGAUUUCUUCUACA